rnacentral:rRNA from 1 species
AACGAACGCUGGCGGCAGGCUUAACACAUGCAAGUCGAACGCACCUUUCGGGGUGAGUGGCCGACGGGUGAGUAACGCGUGGGAAUCUACCCUUCUCUACGGGAUAGCUCCGGGAAACUGGAAUUAAUACCGUAUACGUCCUGAGGGAGAAAGAUUUAUCGGGGAAGGAUGAGCCCGCGUUGGAUUAGCUAGUUGGUGGGGUAAAGGCCUACCAAGGCGACGAUCCAUAGCUGGUCUAAGAGGAUGAUCAGCCACAUUGGGACUGAGACACGGCCCAAACUCCUACGGGAGGCAGCAGUGGGGAAUAUUGGACAAUGGGCGCAAGCCUGAUCCAGCCAUGCCGCGUGAGUGAUGAAGGCCCUAGGGUUGUAAAGCUCUUUCAGUGGGGACGAUAAUGACGGUACCCACAGAAGAAGCCCCAGCUAACUUCGUG